rnacentral:rRNA from 1 species
AUGAGAGUUUGAUCCUGGCUCAGGAUGAACGCCGGCGGUGUGCCUAAUACAUGCAAGUCGUACGCACUGGCCCAACUGAUUGAUGGUGCUUGCACCUGAUUGACGAUGGAUCACUAGUGAGUGGCGGACGGGUGAGUAACACGUAGGUAACCUGCCCCGGAGCGGGGGAUAACAUUUGGAAACAGAUGCUAAUACCGCAUAACAACAAAAGCCACAUGGCUUUUGUUUG